GAAGAUUUCUCUUCAAGUACUCACCUAUAUUUUUGAGGUACAGCUUUAUAUCUACAUAGCUAUAUAGAUAUUUAAUCCAUAUGAAAUUUAUUUUUCUGAAUGAUUGGGGCAGGGAUCUGCUUGUUUUUUUCCUCAGAUGGCCCAGUUGUCCAAAUGACAUUUAUUUGGACAACUGGACCUCUGUGUGAGGUGUCAUCUUUACUAUAUAUGAUAAUUGGGGUUGCAGGUGAGACCUUUUUUUUUUAUAACUCAUUUUAUUAGUUGGAUACAAUUGUCAUAUAGGAAAGCUAUUAUUUUUAUACUCUCUGUCUUAUCGAACAAUUAUUUCUAAGCUAUGAUUCAGGUUCCUGUUGAGGAGGAAGUGAGCAGUCAGCUGAGCUGAAACAGAAGGAUGCCGAGGUUUGGCCAGCCUCCUAUGUCUCUGAAAGUGUGCACAGAAUAGGCUGUGGUUUUACAUGACCUAUUAAUGCUUCGCAAAAGGGAAAUGAGGAUACAGAGCGACUUCAUCAAAGUGGGGAAGAGUGAAUGUAUCUACCUGUUAUACAGCCUCAGAAACAGCUGGAUUCUUUCUUAUUUGGUUGAGGCGCAUGGCCUAGAGAGCAAAGGAAAGCCCUGAACAUCCAGGGGUGCAUGGGAUGUGCAGAAGAAGGUGAAACCGCCAGUGACCAGGCAAGCAAAGACAAAUGGAAACACCACUUCACGACUCAACCGCCCUGGAUCCCACUGUACAUAACAGGGAUUAGAUCAUCAGGUUCACAUGGGCCUCCUUAAUUUUUCAUAGCUUCCUGGAGCACAAAACAGAAGAAAUAAGGAUCUCAGCCACGCGGGUGGGAAAGAGCGUAGGCCACGUGUAGUAUCUGCGUGGAAAGAGAGGAGAGGGAAGGUUGAUGCCUUCGCCAACCUUAGUGGAGCUUUGUUGUCAUGAAUGAAUUUGAAGCCCGAUUUGCAAAGUUCUUUUUAAUGUAUUGUAUGUGGACAACUUUAUUUCCUCAGACAUCUUUCUGCUCCUUGUGCAUUAAAUCCUAAAGCCUCAGCAAAGUCGAAAAAUCUUCAAAACGUGUUAGAAGAAAGGCAAGUUGCCUGUGAAGAAAGAAUACAGAAAACUAAAGAACUAUAAAGAAACCACGUUUGAAGGAUGAGAAGAAACUACCAGUGGAAGACAUGUGAAGAUUGAACUUGGAAAGCAAACAAAAAAUAGAUGCGAACAACUGGGAAAUAUAAAAAUAAAGAAGUUGGACAUUAAGAUGCUUCUUUGUAGGGCUGAAAUAAAGUGCAAUUCUGGAUCUUGUGAAAAGAAGUGAAAGGAAGAAAAGAAAGAAAAGGAAGAAAGUUUUUAGGAAAAAGAGACACCAUAAUAAAAGCUAUGACUAUUCUGAAUUUU